AGAAACUUCCUGUAAUGCUUCUGAUCUGAUUGUCAGCUUUUUCUUAGAUUUGAUUUUUUUUUCCCUUAAAUUGUAAUAUACAAUAAUCAAACCCUUUCUUUUUCAGAGUUAUUUGAAUUAUUUAUAUUUCCCAUAGAAAUGUGAUUGUGUGAUGCCUUAAAAACGUGUAAAAGUAGGAAGAUUUCCUCUCUGAACAAGAGGUUUUCUGGGCACCGCUGAAAGCAGGUCUUUGGAGCCUAUUACCUAUCCCAGAUAUACUGGAAAGUAAUAUAACUAUACGCAAAUCCAAGCCCCACUCUUUGCCUGGAAAGAAAUGGUGAACAGAGGAACUUUGCUUCGGUGGGACAGAGGAAUUAGUUGGCUCAUAGGACCACACAGUUGAAAUGGUAAAUGUAACUUCACAUAUACCUGAAUUUAAGGGCUCAAAGGUAUUCGAUUGCCCUGUCCUUCAUUUUCUUGAUUCUGUACUCCUCUC